AGUAUCAUGAAAUAAGAUGACAGCGCUGGAAAUCUAACCCUUUUUAAAUUCUUCCGUUAAUUUCACUGCAUGCCUUUUUACUCUCUCUUUUUUCCUAAGGUCGCUUUAGGAUGCUGGACUGGAAUGUCACUCACUGACACACUCAAGAGCUGUCAACACACCUCUAUUCACUGAUGAGAGCGCCUUCAGCUGGCCUCAAUAAAACCCUUCCAUUUCCUAGAGUCUCGGGCUCUGCAGUUCUCUAAUAUUAAACAGCCAUUUCAGGUCCAUUUAAAAGGAGGAGAGAAAGGAAAGGGAGUGGGGGGUGGCUGUUUCUGAGCAACAGGAAUUCAGCUAUGACUUGUCAGAAUUCAUUUCAGCUGUGACCAUUUACAGCCUUCAGAUCCAAAUUGCUUUCCAUCAUUUUGGCUGAAGCAGGAUUUGUAUGCCUAUCCCAGACGUAAAGACACUGAGUCCUCCCAAGGACCUGGGAUGCCAGAAUUUUGUUAGCAAUAUUGUUGUUGUUAAGGGAGAAGAGCCAGUUCUGCAGGAGUGAGCAUUGACCCAUUUGCUAGACAGAGUUCACUUUAGCUGGCCUGAAAAUAAAAGAAGCAAGGAAACCAACCAGCCUCAAAACAGUCAAGGGAGUUUUUUGUGGUCCAUUGGCAACCCUAAACCCCACAACUGGCUGGAAGAGGGAGGUGUACAAGUCUCCAGUGCAUCCCUAGCAAUAUGUAAUGGAGUCUCGUUUUUAAGGUGUGAUAUUUUAUAACUCUUUAAUUGUAAUUAAAAUGUGUACUUUUUUG